UGAGCCUGCCAGAAUUUGAACCUGGAAUCUUCUGAUCUGUAGUCAGACGCGUUAUUUGUUGCGCUACAGGCCC